UACGUAGGGGGCAAGCGUUGUCCGGAAUCAUUGGGCGUAAAGCGCGUGUAGGUGGGUCGUUAAGUGUCCGCGUGAAAUCCCACGGCUCAACCGUGGAACUGCCGGGCAUACUGGCGAUCUUGAGGCAUUCAGGGGCGAGCGGAACAAGUGGUGGAGCGGUGAAAUGCGUAGAUAUCACUUGGAACGCCAAUGGUGAGAACAGCUCGCUGGGAAUGAUCUGACACUGAGACGCGAAAGCCAGGGGAGCGAACGGG
rnacentral:rRNA from 1 species